rnacentral:lncRNA from 1 species
AAAAUAUAAUUUAAAUGUUACUUAUAAAGUUUUUAAAAAACUUAUUGUGUAAUUUAAUUGAUGUUUUAGUAUGAUAACUUAUUGGUAAUUAGCCGAUCACAUUGAAUAAGUAUAUAUUGAUUAAAGAAUUUUCGGUUAAAGGAUAUCUAAUUGCCUUAACUUUCUAGUUUGUAUUAAUGAUGAUACUUGCAUCAAAUCUGUUAGACUUGGUCACGGAGUAUAUACUUUGGUAGUUAUUAAAUAUUAAAUAACUAUUUCAAUAUACAGAUCACGUCAAACUUGUAUAUCAAGAUGUUCGAUAAAUUUUCACACAAUAAACUUCCAUAGGAAUCUAAAUAUAAAAUGACUUCACUCUUUGUUUAACUGC